AUAAAUAGAAUAACAAAAUAAUUGGAAAAUGGAUAUAAUGAAAUAUUAUCCCAAAACCAUGUAAAGCAAUAGCAAAACUACCUAAGUGAUUCAGGGAUAACAAGGUAAAAUGGAUAAACAGACUAGGGUGACCUAUUGGGUCCCAUCAAAAUUAAACCUAUACAUGAAUAAUGACAUUAAAGAAUAUUAUUGGGUAUAAACGUGGUCAACGGCACAACUUGCCUCGGACUUGACAUUCUAGUUAACAGGGUGAUUCUUCAGAUCCUCAUGACCUCACUGCUAGUCGUAGCAAUACAAACAAACAUGGUAUAUACAAAAUUAACAUCACAACAAACAUAAGAAAAAACUGAAUAAUAAUGAUCUACGCGAAGCUACGAGAUCGUGAGAACGAGAACCACUAAAAUCGGAGUUACGGUUAAGGAGUUAUGAUUUUUAUAAAAGAUCUAUGUGAUUUAAAUAUUAAACCAUAUUAUAAUUUGGUUAGUAUAGAUAUAUGAAAGGUCAUUCUAUAAAUAAUUAUCUCAACUUAAAUCUAAGUUAGAAAUUGAUCAUAGAUCAUAUUUUAGUAGAUUAUAAUGCUAAGCACAUUAACAAGUCUAACCAACAUAAAUUAAAUAAAGAUCUAAAUAGAAAAGAAUGAGACAUGGUAUACUCAAUAUUGUUACUGCGUAGUAAAUACUUAUAUAAAACUAACGCAACUGGAAUGAAUCAAAUCGGAAUUCAAACGGAGGAGCUACGAAUUUCCUAGGUUUUAUGUACUUGAUAUAAGAUUAAUUAGGAAAUAAAUUUAAAGUGGAUUUCAUGUCAAAUCAGUAUCACUAUUUGAUAAACAAUAAUAUUAUAAAAUUAUAGGAAUUGGAAUGAAUUAACUUGAGCUAGAAUGGAUUUUCUAUGAAUUAACUAAAUUUCUGGAAUUAUUUUAACACUAAAAAUCAUUUUCUAAUUGACUUUCUGAAUUUCCUAUGAUUCUGGACCGCGCCGCAUAUUUUCUAAAAGAUCAGGGGUCAGAUUAAAACAAAAAGGACUCAGUUGUAAUGAUCUGUAUAUUAUUGAGGAUGACGGGUUGGUUUCCCCAAAACCCAGGGGCUUAUUUGCCAAAUUGCUCGGCUGAAGGGGUAUCCAAACGUUUGGGCCGUUGGAUCCAUGUCCGAUGGUUCGGAUUAGAUUGGGCGCUUUAUGAACCGGUACGUGUGAUUGACCGCACGAUCAUGAUCCAGUGGUCUAGAUCUUAUCAAUCCAAGUCUAAUCGCACACGUUCACAGCCAAUCCAAGGGACGUGGAUCACCAAGCCGAAUCGCUACAUCCCCUCUAAUCUCCAUCGUUCCCGUGCAAUCUGACGGCUAUCCACGCAUCUCACUCCGGCGAGAGUUGGCAGCCGCGCCGCCGGUCCCCUUGACGGCGACCUCACCGGAGACGUUCGAAUUAACGCCACAAAGCGCAAAAACUUAAUCAAGAACUGCUACGCGAUGACUAGAGGACGGUGAGUUGAGUGGAGGAUCAUACCGGGCUUUCGGGGCAAUGGACAGAUUGGUUCACGGCGAUAGAAGGCUUCUCGGCGGCGGAGAGCGUGGUUGAGGAACCCCACGGCCUCCCAGCUUUAGAUCCCGAGUGCCCAAACCCGCACGGACACGGUACGGCACGGUGAUUCCCCACGCAGUCUGCUGGCGCCCGGUGUCUGCAUGGACGGCGGAUGGUCGACGGCGGCCUGUUGUCCCGUAUGGUGAUGUCCGCCGGCGGCACAAAUUCGCGCGAUGUGGACAAGGGUGUAUGCGGUUAAGGGGGGGUGGAAUAACCAGGCGCAGGUCUUAUAACCGCGGCGCAGCUG
rnacentral:lncRNA from 1 species